rnacentral:rRNA from 1 species
AUCAACUUUCGAUGGUAGGAUAGAGGCCUACCAUGGUGGUAACGGGUAACGGGGUGUUAGGGCACGACACCGGAGAGGGAGCCUGAGAAACGGUUACCACAUCCAAGGAUGGCAGCAGGCGCGCAAAUUACCCAAUCCCGACACGGGGAGGUAGUGACAAUAAAUAACAAUACGGGGUUCUUUCGGAUCUCGUAAUUGGAAUGAGUACAAUUUAAAUCUCUUAACGAGGAACAAUUGGAGGGCAAGUCUGGUGCCAGCAGCCGCGGUAAUUCCAGCUCCAAUAGCGUAUAUUAAAGUUGUUGCAGUUAAAAAGCUCGUAGUUGAAUUUCGGGAUCAAUAUGUUGGUCGUGCCUCGGUACGUACUGGCGUCAUUGGUUUCUACCUUCUGAAGAACCUCGAUGUCAUUAAUUUGGUGUCUUGGGGAAUCAGGACUGUUACUUUGAAAAAAUUAGAGUGUUUAAAGCAGGCUCACGCUUGAAUACAUUAGCAUGGAGUAAUGAAAUAGGACGUUUGAUUCUAUUUUGUUGGUUUCUAGGAUCGACGUAAUGAUUAAUAGGGAUAGUUGGGGGCAUUAGUAUUCAAUUGUCAGAGGUGAAAUUCUUGGAUUUAUUGAAGACUAACUACUGCGAAAGCAUUUGCCAAGGAUGUUUUCAUUAAUCAAGAACGAAAGUUAGGGGAUCGAAGACGAUCAGAUACCGUCGUAGUCUUAACCAUAAACUAUGCCGACUAGGGAUCGGAUGAUGUUAAUUUUUUAAUGACUCAUUCGGCGCCUUACGGGAAACCAAAGUGUUUGGGUUC